UGAGAGGUGCGCGGUCAAUUAUAUAAAAUUGAAACGAUAUAGAGAAGAUUAGCAUGGCCCCUGCGCAAGGAUGACACGCACAUAUAUGUAUUUAUAUAGGUAUAU
rnacentral:snRNA from 1 species